AUGAGUCGCAUGAUCUCUGAGGUGGAUACAGAUUCAGAAUGCACCUCGUCGAGGAACAUGAGGAAGUAUCAGAGGACUCAAACUCACUCGAGAUUGUUCAGGCUUCUAAACGACGACUCGAUCCUUCUAGAAGAUGCAGAGAAAACCAACGAAUCUUCCUCCACUGAAGAGUACCUUAGCCUACCUCUGAAGAGCAACGCCUUCAAUUACGAUGAGAAUUAUUGUUCCAAUUACUCUAGCGGCGUGACAUCUCCAGAAUAUUCACCCAUCUGCGAACAAUCGUGGAAAAGACUUCACGACGCGGACAACUCAAGGUCACCGGACCAAAAUGGCGACGUGUUUCGUCAAGGUCGACAAGAUCGAAUUUCCUGCAAGGAAGACCCAUACUAUCAAGCUUGGAAAACUCCCAAACCUUCGGCACCGUCCUUGGAUCACGACGUGGUGCCAUCUUUGGCUUUCAAGGUCCUGGAAAGUAGAAGGCCGUUAUGGUCGUACAAGGUGAACGUGCUUUGUCCACGGAUUAAAAGUACAAAAAGCGUGCCACAGACGUUGAGAACGAACAAACAGACCAAUUCGAUGGUGUCAUCCUGUCCAAAUUCCUCGCCCUUCCAAGCUAACCUAAAAAGUGACCAUUGCUGAUGGCCCGGGGCAGAAUGAGGCCGCGUUUGGCCGCGAGCAACCGGUCCACGGACGAGCCUCGCGCAACUUUUCACUAGAUUCGCAAGACUGGGCUGACUAUGCCCGGGGGGCUACAGGCUACGUGUCUGUCUAAAUUUUUAGGUCCUGAUGCAACGGAUUACUGAGCAAGGACGAGUGCCUCCAUCAGAAACAUGGCAUUGCUAGUGUGUUUUCUUUUCUUUUUUCAUUUUUUAUUUUGUUUAUGACGACUCGUCGCGAUUCGUUUUAACACGACAACCAUCGAUACCACAGGACUGCUGCUGAGAUCUUCCCAAGUCACCUCAUUGUAUUUGUUGCCCCGUAUAGGUUUCGUCUUGUCCCUUCCGCCAUUCUCUUUAUUUUAUUUCUUCUUCCCUCUUAAUCCCACGGUGUGCGCAUAUUGUUAGAAGACGAAGAUCUUUUGAGAGAUCGAUCGGUCGUUCGAACGAUCGACGACUAACGACAUUCACUGAACCGAAUCACGUGACUGGUUUUUUCGAUUUCAAAAUUGAAAAUAAUCGUCACCUGGUCGCGGUGAUUCCCUGUUUCGCCAUCUUCGUUUGAGAUAAAAAGGAAUCAACGCGAAGUGUAUUCGUGUCGAAUACCAUCACGUUACCUCGAUCAAUCAUUGUGCUAUAUUUAUGUAAGUUGUGUAAAAUAAAUUAUUUGUAAAGUUCACUUUAAA